rnacentral:rRNA from 1 species
GAUGAACGCUAGCUACAGGCCUAACACAUGCAAGUCGAGGGGCAGCGGGAAGGAAGCUUGCUUUCUUUGCCGGCGACCGGCGCACGGGUGCGUAACGCGUAUCGAAACCUACCCUUUUACUCGGGGAACAGCCUUGCGAAAGCAAGAUUAAUGCCCGAUGUUCCGCGUUUUGCCGCAUGGCAAAUUCGGCAAAGAUUUAUUGGUAAAGGAUGGCGAUGCGUCCCAUUAGUUAGUUGGCGGGGUAACGGCCCACCAAGACGACGAUGGGUAGGGGUUCUGAGAGGAAGGUCCCCCACAUUGGAACUGAGACACGGUCCAAACUCCUACGGGAGGCAGCAGUGAGGAAUAUUGGUCAAUGGACGGGAGUCUGAACCAGCCAAGUAGCGUGCAGGACGACGGCCCUAUGGGUUGUAAACUGCUUUUAUAGGGGGAUAAAGUGUGCCACGUGUGGCAUAUUGCAGGUACCCUAUGAAUAAGGACCGGCUAAUUCCGUG